CUACGGAGGCUGCAGUAGGGAAUAUUGCACAAUGGGCGAAAGCCUGAUGCAGCAACGCCGCGUGUGCGAUGAAGGCCUUCGGGUCGUAAAGCACUUUUCGGGAGGAUGAGAAAGGACAGUACUCCCGGAAUAAGUCUCGGCUAACUACGUGCCAGCAGCCGCGGUAACACGUAGGAGGCAAGCGUUAUCCGGAUUUACUGGGCGUAAAGCGCGUGCAGGUGGUUUGGUAAGUUGGAUGUGAAAUCUCCCGGCUCAACUGGGUGAGGUCGUUCAAAACUGCUGGACUAGAGGACGGUAGAGGAAAGUGGAAUUCCCGGUGUAGUGGUGAAAUGCGUAGAUAUCGGGAGGAACACCAGUGGCGAAAGCGACUUUCUGGCCCGUUCCUGACACUAAGACGCGAAAGCUAGGGUAGCAAACGGGAUUAGAUACCCGAGUAGUC
rnacentral:rRNA from 1 species